rnacentral:rRNA from 1 species
GACAGAGGGUGCAAACGUUUGUUCGGAAUUACUGGGCGUAAAGCGCGUGUAGGCGGCCAUCUAAGUCGGGCGUGAAAUCCCACGGCUCAACCGUGGAAGUGCACUCGAAAACUGGAUGGCUAGAGUCCUGGAGAGGAAGGUGGAAUGCUUGGUGUAGAGGUGAAAUUCGUAGAUAUCAAGCGGAACACCGGGUGGCGAAGGCGGCCUUCUGGGACAGUGACUGACGCUGAGAC